rnacentral:tRNA from 1 species
GCGGGUGUGCCGGAGUGGUCAAACGGGCAUGGUUCAGGGCCAUGUGACUCAGUGUCUGCGCAGGUUCAAACCCUGUCACCCGCA